rnacentral:rRNA from 1 species
GUAAUGUCUGGGAAACUGCCUGAUGGAGGGGGAUAACUACUGGAAACGGUAGCUAAUACCGCAUGACCUCGCAAGAGCAAAGUGGGGGACCUUCGGGCCUCACGCCAUCGGAUGUGCCCAGAUGGGAUUAGCUAGUAGGUGAGGUAAUGGCUCACCUAGGCGACGAUCCCUAGCUGGUCUGAGAGGAUGACCAGCCACACUGGAACUGAGACACGGUCCAGACUCCUACGGGAGGCAGCAGUGGGGGAUAUUGCACAAUGGGCGCAAGCCUGAUGCAGCCAUGCCGCGUGUGUGAAGAAGGCCUUCGGGUUGUAAAGCACUUUCAGCGAGGAGGAAGGCCAGUGACUUAAUAAGUGACUGGAUUGACGUUACUCGCAGAAGAAGCACCGGCUAACUCCGUGCCAGCAGCCGCGGUAAUACGGAGGGUGCAAGCGUUAAUCGGAAUUACUGGGCGUAAAGCGCACGCAGGCGGUUUGUUAAGUCAGAUGUGAAAUCCCCGAGCUUAACUUGGGAACUGCAUUUGAAACUGGCAAGCUAGAGUCUUGUAGAGGGGGGUAGAAUUCCAGGUGUAGCGGUGAAAUGCGUAGAGAUCUGGAGGAAUACCGGUGGCGAAGGCGGCCCCCUGGACAAAGACUGACGCUCAGGUG